AUGUCUAUUAUGUCCUACAAUGGAGGGGCCGUCAUGACCAUGAAGGGAAAGAACUGUGUGGCCAUCGCUGCAGACAGGCGUUUUGGGAUCCAGGCCCAGAUGGUGACCACGGACUUCCAGAAGAUAUUUCCCAUGGGUGACAGGCUCUACAUAGGCUGGCCAGUCUGGCCACUGACGUCCAGACAGUUGCCCAGCCUCUCAAGUUCCAACUGAACCUGUAUGAGCUGAAAGAAGGUCGGCAGAUCAAGCCUUACACCCUCAUGAGCAUGGGUAGCCAACCUCCUGUAUGAGAAGCGGUUUGGUACCUACUACACAGAGCCUGUCACUGCUGGCCUGGACCCAAAGACUUUUAAGCCCUUCAUUUGCUCUCUGGACCUCAUUGACUGUCCCAUGGUGACUGAUGACUUCGUAGUCAGUGGUACCUGCUCUGAACAAAUGUAUGGGAUGUGUUAGUCUCUCUGGGAGCCCAACAUGGAUCCAGAACACCUAUCUGAAACCAUUUUUCAGGCCAUGCUGAAUGCAGUGGACCGGGAUGCUGUGUCAGGCAUGGGUAUCAUUGAGAAAGACAAGAUUACCACCAGGACGCUGAAUGCCUGGAUGGACUAA
rnacentral:lncRNA from 1 species